rnacentral:rRNA from 1 species
CCUACGGGGGACAGCAGUGAGGAAUAUUGGUCAAUGGUCGGGAGACUGAACCAGCCAAGCCGCGUGAGGGAGGAAGGUACAGAGUAUCGUAAACCUCUUUUGUCAGGGAACAAAGACUGGGACGCGUCCCCGGAUGAGUGUACCUGAAGAAAAAGCAUCGGCUAACUCCGUGCCAGCAGCCGCGGUAAUACGGAGGAUGCGAGCGUUAUCCGGAUUUAUUGGGGUUAAAGGGUGCGCAGGCGGUCUGUUAAGUCAGCGGUCAAAGCCCGGGGCUCCCCCCCGGCCCGCCGUUGAAACUGGCAGUCUCGCGUUGGAGAGAAGUAUGCGGACUGCGCGGUGUAGCGGUGACAUGCAU